rnacentral:snRNA from 1 species
GGAUGUGAGGGCGAUCUGGCUGCGACAUCUGUCCCCCAUUGAUCGCCAGGGUUGAUUCGGCUGAUCUGGCUGGCUAGGCGGGUGUCCCCCUCCUCCCUCACCGAUCCAUGUGCGUCCCUCCCGAAGCUGCGCGCGCUCGGUGGAAGAGGACGACCUUCAAUGUUUAUUGAUUUGAAGAAGGUAAAGGGAGAG